GGAUUAGGCAUGCAAGUCGUACGGGUGUAGCAAUACACCAGUGGCGAACGGGUGAGUAAUGUAUCGCUAACGUACCCCAGAGUCUGGGAUAGCUGCCCGAAAGGGCAGAUAAUACCAGGUAACAUCACGAGACCGCAUGGUUUUGUGCUCAAAGGGAAACCGUUCUGGGAGCGGGCGAUAUCGUAUCAGCUAGUUGGUGAGGUAAAGGCUUACCAAGGCGACGACGCGUAACCGGACUGAGAGGUUGGCCGGUCACAUUGGGACUGAGACACUGCCCAGACUCCUACGGGGGGCUGCAGUAACGAAUCUUCCGCAAUGCACGAAAGUGUGACGGAGCGACGCCGCGUGUGGGACGAAGUUCUUCGGAAUGUAAACCACUGUCAGGGGUUAGAAAGUUCUGAUCAACCCCAGAGGAAGGCACGGCUAACUCUGUGCCAGCAGCCGCGGUAAGACAGAGGUGCCAAGCGUUAGGCGGAAUCACUGGGCUUAAAGCGUGUGUAGGCGGACUGGUAAGUACUUUGUGAAAUCCCACGGCUCAACCGUGGAACCGCUUGGUAUACUGCCGGUCUUGAGCCACCUAGGGGCAACCGGAACAAACGGUGGAGCGGUGAAAUGCGUAGAUAUCGUUUGGAACGCCAAUGGUGAAAACAGGUUGCUGGGGGUGUGCUGACGCUGAGACACGAAAGCCAGGGGAGCGAACGGGAUUAGAUACCCCGGUAGUCCUGGCCGUAAACGAUGUCGACUAGAUCAUAGCGCCUCUGACGGUGUUAUGGUCGAAGCAAAAGUGCUAAGUCGACCGCCUGGGAAGUACGGCCGCAAGGCUAAAACUCAAAAGAAUUGACGGGGGCUCGCACAAGCGGUGGAGCAUGUGGCUUAAUUCGAUGCAACGCGAAGAACCUUACCGGGGCUUGACAUGAUAGAAGUAGGAACCCGAAAGGGCGACGAACGGUAUCCAGCCCAAAACUAUCACAGGUGUUGCAUGGCUGUCGUCAGCUCGUGUCGUGAGACGUUGGGUUAAGUCCCCUAACGAGCGAAACCCUUGUCUUUAGUUGCCAACAGGUAAUGCUGGGCACUCUAAAGAAACUGCCGUCGUCAAGACGGAGGAAGGUGGGGAUGACGUCAAGUCAUCAUGGCCCUUAUAUCCCGGGCUGCACACGUGCUACAAUGGUCGGUACAAAGGGAUGCUAAGCCGCAAGGUGGAGCGAAACCCAGAAAGCCGAUCCCAGUUCAGAUUGGAGGCUGAAACCCGCCUCCAUGAAGUAGGAAUCGCUAGUAAUCGCGGAUCAGCUACGCCGCGGUGAAUAUGUUCCCGAGCCUUGUACACACCGCCCGUCAAGCCACCCAAGCAAGAUGCACCCAAAAUCACCGGCCUAACCUGAAAAGGAAGGAAGUGCCUAAGGUGUGUUUUGUGAGGAGGACUAAGUCGUAACAAGGU
rnacentral:rRNA from 1 species